GGGGCUGGGGCUCAGUGGUAGAGCACUUGUCUAGCAUGCAUAAGACAAUGGGUUCGAUCCUCAGCACCA
rnacentral:tRNA from 1 species